GCCAAUUUUAGGAUUUUCAGUUACUCAGUGUCAGCUGGGAGUAGUGUCUUCUUGAACAUUUUUAAGAGCUGGUCUAGAUGAAACAAACAGCAAGGGCAGCCAUAAAGAUCAGAAACUGACCCUUUGUAGGAUGAAGCCCUAAAAUGGGAAAUGAAAUUCUCCUCCAAGUGAAAUGAAAUGGACACAAAGGGCAAAAAUUCAACUGUGGAAUAGGCAGUGAUUUUGGAUGAUAUCUUACUCACAAGGAUGACAAAGGUCCAGACAACCCAGCUACCACUGACAUCCUGAAGCUACCAUCGCUCACUUGCUGCGAGCCUAUUCACUGCAAUAUUAAGUCAGCAAUCCUGAAGAUGUAUGCAGUGCUGAAUACUGAUGUCAAUAUUGGAUAGCACACUGGCAUCAGAGAACUAGACAAGUGACUGGAUUUCAGGAUGCAGCAGCAGACACCGAAAAGGCAGCUGAGACUAAUGAACCUAUCAGCAUGUGAAGCAGCUACGCUAAAGGUUUACAACAGGACAAUAGUUAAUGCAGUGCUUUGAACAUGUAUCAACUUUGUAAGUUCUAAGUAUUAGUACUGCUUUUAUGCUAUUGCAGCCAUACCUCGUGUGCCUUGUGAUUUGUCACAACUUCCUCUUAAGAGCUCAAUUUAGUUACUAGUUCCACUGAAGACUCUGCACAGUUUUGAUGCUCAGUCCCACAGUUCUUAUUUAAGUAAAUAGCCCAUUGAUUUCAAUGGCAAUUUUGCCUAAGACAGCACUGUGUAAGGACUGGAAACUAUAGCCAAAGCAAUUAAUGGUAUUAAGUACUUUCGUAGAAGGAUGAA